UACGGGGGGGAGCAAGCGUUGUUCGGAUUUACUGGGCGUAAAGGGCGCGUAGGCGGUCAGCACAAGUCAGUUGUGAAAUCUCCGGGCUUAACCCGGAAAGGUCAACUGAUACUGUGCGACUAGAGUGCGGAAGGGGGCAACUGGAAUUCUCGGUGUAGCGGUGAAAAUGCGUAGAUAUCGAGAGGAACACCUGCGGCGAAGGCGGGUCUCUGGGCCGUAACUGACGCUGAGGAGCGAAAAGCGUGGGGGAGCGAAACAGG
rnacentral:rRNA from 1 species